GUGGGGAAUUUUGGACAAUGGGCGAAAGCCUGAUCCAGCAAUGCCGCGUGCAGGAUGAAGGCCUUCGGGUUGUAAACUGCUUUUGUACGGAACGAAAAGCUUCGGGUUAAUACCCUGGAGUCAUGACGGUACCGUAAGAAUAAGCACCGGCUAACUACGUGCCAGCAGCCGCGGUAAUACGUAGGGUGCAAGCGUUAAUCGGAAUUACUGGGCGUAAAGCGUGCGCAGGCGGUCUUGUAAGACAGAGGUGAAAUCCCCGGGCUCAACCUGGGAACUGCAUUUGUGACUGUAUAGCUAGAGUACGGUAGAGGGGGAUGGAAUUCCGCGUGUAGCAGUGAAAUGCGUAGAUAUGCGGAGGAACACCGAUGGCGAAGGCAAUCCCCCGGACCUGUACUGACGCUCAUGCACGAAAGCGUGGGGAGCAAACAGGAUUAGAUACCCUAGUAGUCC
rnacentral:rRNA from 1 species